UGUAAUGGUAUCAGUACAGAUAAUAUUCUACCAGCUAAAUUGUAGAAGCUUAAUGGGAAUAUGUGCUGGGAAUACAUGCUGGGAAGAGCUUGGAAGAGAGUCAUUAAACAUGGAUUCCUGCUAAUCAAAAUGACACAGCACAACUCUGAUUUCAUAAACCACAUUUAAAGGGGAAAAAAAAAAGUACUAGAGAAGCAUAGAUACAUGGAUAGGCUUUCUGCUGCCUUUGGGGUAUCCAUCCUUAUUCAGAGAUGCAAAUAUCCUUACUUCAGGUAUAGGUGUACACUGGUCAUCCUUGCAGGAUGGCUGUGGCUACUCGAAGAACACUUUAUUAAUAGUCAACAAAUUUCUUUUAAUACCCAAUCCAAGAUUGUUCAGGGUCAGCCUAUAUCUAUUUGUUCUUGUGCCAACAUUGUUCUUUUACUUAAACAGUUCUGUUCCCUUGUGGUGUUUAUCCCUGAGGAGAGCAAUCUUAUCCCCUCUCAGCCUUCCUUUUGCAAAGUUAAACAAGUCACACCCUUCCACCUCUCAUUAGUCAGGUUCUCCAUUCCUUCUGUCACCCCAGUAGCCUUCACUGCAUUGAAAAAAAAUAGUUUCUGUUCAUUUUAUUGCAUGUCUUUGACCAGAGUUGUGACUAUUCCAGGUGACUCCACACCAAGGCCUAGCACCAUCAGCCUGCUCCUUGGCUGUCUUUCUGGAAUUGUCCUGGUGGGGACAUUUCAAAGACCCCAAAUUGUGUGCUCAUAACAUGUAAUGAAACUCCAUGCAGAUGACAUUCUGGACUAAAUCUCUUCAGGACAGAUGAAACAGUAGCAAGAGACUUGCAUGCAUGGGAUGUUGCUCUUGGCACUCCGGUGGAGAAGCAACAUGAGAUUAUGGUCCAGAACUCUUUCUUACCCACUCUGUGAUGAGAGAAAGAUGACAGCAAGUGUUAUUUCUGGUAAGUACAUCUCUCAUUAGUUCCUUUUCUUACUUUUUUAUAUCUUUUGUUUGAGUUUUGGUUCACUUUUCCAUAUUAUUUCUGAAUGUCACUGCAUCAUUCCUUUGACGUCAAUAAUGCACUCUGUAGUUACAAGUAGUUAUUGUUGCAGUUACAACAAUAGUUACAAGCACUCUGUAGCACUUCCAGGAUUUUGCACACAACAAUUGUGGAAGCUCUCUGACUUCCCUAAAACAUAUGUGUAACAAUCACUUUGCAGCACAAAAUGCUCUGCCAUCACUCAGAAAAAGCUCUGUAUGUGAUCCUUUUUCCCAAAACAAACUGCCCAGAAAUUGAUGUACCCAGACAGUGAUUGCAUGUAGAGAAAAAUAGGAGAGAGCAAAAACAUUAGAUUGUAAGACAACUAUCUCUGUCUGACCCUACAGAAAUUUGGAAAGCAAAAUAAGGAGAAUUCAUUAGAUUCAUGGCUCCCUGCUAAUUCAUUAUUUUUCAAAGUUGGAGUGAAAGUUUUCUAGGAUUUUUCUUUUUUUUUUUUUCUUUUUAAGUCCUUACUUUUUAACAGUUAAAUCAUAAUCAAAAACAUAUGCCAUCUCUCUUCAACUGCAUAUUUUUCAAAGAAAGCACAUUGGUAUUUAUCAAAUAAGGAUUAAUAUGAAUCUAGCAUUUCAACAAAUGAUGAAGAGAAUAAACAUUAGCUAUGUGGAUAUAGUCCUUUAAGGAGGCAGACAACUCUCAGUUACACUACAAUUAUACAGUUCUAAGAAGCACAUUUUCCAUUAUUGUGGAUAGUGUGGUUUUAAUUUAUCAGGCUAGCUUUUUAAGAAGCCUUGCAGUGUAAGCAUACAGUUACUUUCCAAAUGUAUAAGUAUUUGCAUUGCUCGAUGAGUUGAUAAUCAAAUGAAUAGUGUAGACAGUCCUUCAUAUGGUGUGUUGCCAAAGUUGCAAGAGGCAUGGGAGGGGUUCACAUAUUUUUGUUGUGUUUUUAUUGCCAGCUGCCAUACUGCUGUGGUGUUUAAAGACAGUGCCAAAUACAGGGUUUUAAAGGUUCUCCUGUAAUUAUAUCAGAUAGAGAGAGGGCAGGGCAUGCUUUAACACUGAAUCCUGCCUUAUUCAUUUAGAGCCUGGCUCCAGUCUUGAGAAGUUUAAGGCCUGGCAGAGCUGCCUGCUAGAGGAGGCCUGUGCAGCCCUGGCAGUGCACAUUCAUGCUCACAUUCAUGUUCUUCUGGUAGCAGGCACCUUUUUAAAACGUGUUGGUUCUCAGGCAUGGAAUUACCCCCCAUAUUCUAGAUGUCUAGUGACUUCUUAAAAGCAUUAUAAAUCAUACUCAUGUCAUCACUGUGCACUGUGUUAACUUACUUGCUUCAUAGCUUACUUGCUUACUUACUUUGCUAGCUUGGUUUUAUUUCUAUAAAUAUUGCUAAUAUUUGUUACAGUGAUAAUGCUGAGCAUAAAAGCAGGAUCUUGAGCUUACAAGAAAAAGCAUGCUGGAGAGCUCAAAAACAUCUCAGAAUAGGAACCAAAACUGGAUCCCCAAAUCCUCAUGUCAGUAGCCUGGGAAGCUAUUUCUCUCUUCACCAGAUAUUUCCCACUAAAUAAUUUUCUUUACAAUAAAACUUUUAUUUCCUCCAUAGUAGAUGUUUUCACCACCUUUUUGUCACUUCAGAUAAGUGACAGAAAUCUCUCAUAAUUUUCUCUUCUCUAACGUGAAUUAAAGGCAAUAUAAAAACCAGUCAUCACCUCCCUCACUUCUCAUUUUCUGUAACAUGUUCCUCACAAGCCCUGAAAAAUCUUUUCACAAAAACUGCAUGCUUUCUAGACAUUUCUAAAAAUUAGGAAAUUGCACAUCACAAGUUUCUCAUUCCCAUUUUAAAUGUUUCCAGUGACUUUUCUUUUUGACUUUAUAAAGUGAUCUAGUCUUCUCUUCAUGAUCUUCCUUAUGGAACUAAACCAAGCCUUUUGCCUUUUUAUUUUCAUAUUGUGCUAAUGCACUGACUUUCAGAUUUUUUUCUGCACGUACUUCUGUUCUGGAUGAGCAAAAUAUUCCAGCCACUGAACUAGCAUGGGCUGUGAUUUUGUUCUGUAAAUAUGCCUUUUGGAAAAUCAUUGAGCCUGUUGUUCAUUCAGUUUCUUGCCCUUUAAGUUAGUUUGACAACUUUGGCAACCAGUCUAUCUAUCAGAUGUCUUGAAUUUUUCUGUAUAUUGCAAGUUAUAAUAACUGAAAUAAAGCAUAGCUGCAUAACCUUA